rnacentral:rRNA from 1 species
GAUAAACGCUGGCGGCGUGCCUAAUACAUGCAAGUCGAGCGAACGGACGAGAAGCUUGCUUCUCUGAUGUUAGCGGCGGACGGGUGAGUAACACGUGGAUAACCUACCUAUAAGACUGGGAUAACUUCGGGAAACCGGAGCUAAUACCGGAUAAUAUUUUGAACCGCAUGGUUCAAAAGUGAAAGACGGUCUUGCUGUCACUUAUAGAUGGAUCCGCGCUGCAUUAGCUAGUUGGUAAGGUAACGGCUUACCAAGGCAACGAUGCAUAGCCGACCUGAGAGGGUGAUCGGCCACACUGGAACUGAGACACGGUCCAGACUCCUACGGGAGGCAGCAGUAGGGAAUCUUCCGCAAUGGGCGAAAGCCUGACGGAGCAACGCCGCGUGAGUGAUGAAGGUCUUCGGAUCGUAAAACUCUGUUAUUAGGGAAGAACAUAUGUGUAAGUAACUGUGCACAUCUUGACGGUACCUAAUCAGAAAGCCACGGCUAACUACGUG